GGUUAGAUUUGUAAUUGAAUCCUAUUUGAAUAAUAAUUAAUAUUUAAAUCUGUUUGAGAUAAAUUAAGAUUUAAAUAUUAAUUAGAGGAUAAACCUAACUAGAUUAGGAUUAAUAUUUAAAUCUAUUAGAGAUUAAUUAAGAUAGAUUUAGAUAUUAAUUGGAGUAGAAAUUCUAAAUAUAUUAGGAUUUGGGUACGUUUUGGUGGAGCCUUAUAAAUAGCUCUUUAUGGGUUUGCUUUUGUGGUGAAGUACGGGAGAGAGAGAAAAGGCCUCUUGGGUGCCGUACCAGAGAGAGAAAAAGAGAGAGAGAGAGUUAUUUAGUGUACCUAGUGCAUGGAUGCGCGUGGAUGAUUGUCUUCUUUAUGGGAUUAUAGAAGACGAGAGAAGGGUAUAAGAGAUUCAGAAAGAGGGCUCGGAUUGUAGCUACUCUGUGCAGAAGAGGAGUCAGGUGUAAUCUUCUCUUAUUUAAUUGAAUCUUAUUUUACCCGCAUAUUUUUCUCUUUUAUGAUUGUAUCAGCUUUUGCUGAGGAAACGGGUUUAUGGUAAAAAUUCGAUUUGAUGCUUCCGUUGCGGAAUCCCAACAAUCGAUAUCGGAUCCACAGCAGUCGGUAUCGGAUCGGGUUGCGGAUUCACGAGAUCCGGUACCGGGGCGAAUACCGGAUUCCCAACAAUUGGUAUCAGAGCCGAAGGUUACCGAUCUGUGGGAGAGAUCGACGGAGAUGGCCACAAAAUUCGAAAUCGAGAAGUUCAACGGCAAGAACAAUUUCGGAUUGUGGCAGACUAAAGUACAGGCAAUCCUCGUACAGCAAGAGUUAGACGAGACGUUGAACAGGGAGGAGGCGAAGCCGGCGGAGGUCACGGAUGCGGCAUGGACGAAGAUGGAGUGGAAGGCGUUGAGUACGCUUCAUCUUCAAGGGUGCGAACAAGCGGAGCGUAUGCUGGGUUAGAGCAAAAGCCUGGGAGUAUCGAGGUGGACUUCGAUUUUAUAGCGUUGGGAAGCUCAGGUUACGCGGAUUGCUCUAGUUUAAGGCAAAGUUAAGUCCUUGCACGGCGUGUGGACAGUCGUAGGAGUGCUGGGGUAGCACGUAAGCCUAAAAGUGGUACGACUGAGGGUUAUGAAACGUGUGACAGAACAAGGGGUAAUCGCGGAAAGGUGGAAACCAGCGGAAUAUCCACCGUUUUCUGAGUAAGAGAUCCGUAUGCACUUUUCUUGUGCGGCUUAGCUCAUGGGUGUGUAGCAGGCUUUAAAAGCGUGGAGGCCAGUGGCGUAUGUCGUGUAGUCUUAGCUAGUAGAGGCUGAGACGACAGACGCGGCAGCGACUAUGGCAGAGCAGGACCAAGUGCUGUCAAACGAGGAAGACAGCGAAAUUGAGGAAGUCUAGUAGGACUUCAAAAGUUAUUAACGCGAACUAUACGGGGAAGGAUACUGUCAUUUUCGCAAGAUGGAGUCUAUCGACAAAGAAGACAAAUAUAGGUCAGCGGCUAUAAGAGCGGAGGAAGAAGCGUCAGUGGUGGUCAAGAUGUAGGAUUGAAACGCACGGCCUGAGGACUCAGUAGAAGGCGUAGAGCAAGCUCUCUUCGCGGCGGCACUGGCGGAGGUGCGAAUACCUGAGGAACGGUAUUUCGUUACACCAGUGGUCUACGAGUAUACAGUAGCCAUCGCUUCUAUCAUCCUAGUUGCGGAACAGAAGCAGUAGGUCUAACUGAGGCUACGAUCAGUUGACACGGUGGUGGAACAACUUGAGCAAAUCUACGAGCACAUCCAAGCGGCGAAGAACGUAGGCGUCGCAUUUGUCAGCGACGAAGUCUAUGUUAGACAAGCAGUUCUUGAACCAGUACAUGUCUAGAAGGUUAAAGAAGGUGUUGAAGCGGCCGCAACAGAGCGACCGAUGCAACAUUUCUUGGAGUAGACGAUUAUUANNNNNNNNNNNNNNNNNNNNNNNNNGAGAGCUACCUAUCAAGCCGUUUUUCAUACCGUGAUUUAGUGUCUUGUAAUUAAGAUAGACAUGAACAAGGAUUGGAAGCUAUCUAUUAUUUAAAAUAAAAGAUUCUUCUUAAUUAUAUAUGUCAAGAUCGAUCUAUACUACGUACUUAAAAAAACAAGUCGUAUAAAAAAUAAAUGAAUGGUGUUAUAUAUAUAUAUAUAUAUAUAUAUAUAAAUUUAUUACCACAAAGCAGAAGCACUUGUGCACUUACAAACCAUCGAAGUUCAUGCCCCCGCAAACGUCUAAUCGCUGCUUUGAUCUCUAUUAUUAUAUAAGCUCAAAGUGAAUGCAUGGGGUCUACUGCACACUCUAAUGCAAAAGAGCAAUAAAGGCCCAAAAGAAAGUGGGUGACAUGAUGUAAAACGGAUCUUUGUCUCUAUUAUAUAUGUAUAUAUAUGAGAAGAAGAUAUGUAGAUGGGGACUGAGGGGGAGUGAGAGCAUUAAUUUGUUCCUUAAUACUUUAUAUAUCUAUGGAGAUUCCAUAUACUUAUAUAUUAUAGGUGUAUUUUGUGUGUACUGCUGUAGUGCUGCUCCAUGAACUGUAUAGGAAGAUUCCAUAAUUAGAAAAGCCAACAUUCGACUCUUAAUUGAAAGCCGCAGCAUUCAUCCAAGCUUCUAUUCUUUUGUUUGAUGUGUUAGGAUUUGAUUAGAUUUAUAGUUAAAUUUUAUUUCGAUAAGAAUUAAUAUUUAAAUCAGUUUGAGAUAAAUUAAGAUUUAAAUAUUAAUUAGAGGAUAAAUCUAACUAGAUUAGGAUUAAUAUUUAAAUCUAUUAGAGAUUGAUUAAGAUAGAUUUAGAUAUUAAUUAAAGUAUGAAUCCUAAAUAUAUUAGGAUUGGGUACCUUCUUGAUGGAGCAUUAUAUAUAAUGCAUUAGAGUCUCCUUUUGAGGUGAGUAUGGUUGAGAGCCUUGGAGGUACCGUACCAGAGAGAGAAAAAGAGAGAGAGAGUUAUUGAGUGCACCUAGUGCACAGGUGCGCAUGGAUGAUUGUUUUCUUUAUGGGUUUAUAGAAGACGAGAGAAGGGUAUAAGAGAUUCAGAAAGAGGGCUCGGAUUGUAGCUACUCUGUGCAGAAGAGGAGUCAGGUGUAAUCUUCUCUUAUUUAA
rnacentral:lncRNA from 1 species